UACAGAGGUCUCAAGCGUUGUUCGGAUUCAUUGGGCGUAAAGGGUGCGUAGGUGGCGCUGUAAGUCGGGUGUGAAAUUUCGGAGCUUAACUCCGAAACUGCAUUCGAUACUGCGGUGCUUGAGGACUGGAGAGGAGACUGGAAUUCAUGGUGUAGCAGUGAAAUGCGUAGAGAUCAUGAGGAAGACCAGUGGCGAAGGCGGGUCUCUGGGCCGAUAUCGACGCUGAGGAGCGAAAGCGUGGGGAGCGAACAGG
rnacentral:rRNA from 1 species